rnacentral:misc_RNA from 1 species
GUUCACCAGUGAUAGUUCUUCCUAUUCUAUUUUCUUCCCCUGUUUUUCCAUCUUUUUGACCUUUAUAUCAACAAUUAUUAUUCUUUUUUAAUAAAUAUAUUAGUCUCAUUCAUAUUUGGUUUGCCGUAUUUGAUCAGGUCUCGUUGAAUACUUCAAUUAAUUCAUAAUCUAUUUAAACAUCCUAAUCUGUCGGUUAAAAAUUCAUCUGCGUAAUUUGAAAGACGAAUUUUUUUUAAAAAAAAUCAAUGGCGACGGCUAUGGGAAUGAUGAGGAAUGUUGGGGGUUAUGGUUCUGCCUCUGCUUCAUGGAUUCGUUUGAAGAAUCGCGCAAACAAAAAGACGAAGAGGAGUGAGAAUGUUAAAUUUGGGGUUACUUGUGUUUAUUCACCUUCUCUGAGUGAUCCGUACAAGACCUUGAGGAUUCAACCUGAUGCUUCUGAAUCUGAUGUUAGAAAGGCUUUUAGACAGCUUGCUCUUCAGUAUCACCCGGAUGUAUGCAGAGGAAGUAAUUGCGGUAUACAAUUUCACCAAAUCAAUGAUGCAUACGAUACUGUGAUGAGUAACUUGAGAGGUGAAACAAAGAAUGCAGAAAUGGAGAUUUACGAAGAAUAUGACGAUGACGAUGAAGCCAUGAGAGGAGUGAAUGAUCCAGAUUAUGAUAUGUGGGAAGAAUGGAUGGGAUGGGAAGGAGCAGGCAUUCGGGAUUAUUCGUCUCACAUCAAUCCUUAUAUAUAAUUUUUAAAAAUAAACGUGGUGGUAUCUGGAUUAGCUCACAUGCCCGUUUUAUGUAUUAUCUUCGAUCAUUAUGUUUCUGUCAAAUACCCUAAAACCCAUCCAUCAUCUUCAAACUCAAAGAUGGUUUGAGGUUUCUGUAUAUACUCAAAGGAGGGAGUUGUAUAUUUUGUACAUAGAUGGAACCGUUCCACCUCUGUAUUUAUCAAUUCUAAUCAUGUAAUGAUAUCAAUGGAAAAUAUUAUUAUAUAGUUCAGAUUCCUAAAAUAAUUAUGAAGAUUAUAG